rnacentral:tRNA from 1 species
GGGGGCGUAGUUCAGUUUGGUUUAGAACGCCGGCCUGUCACGCCGGAGGUCGCGAGUUCGAGUCUCGUCGCUCCCGCCA